AUUGAACGCUGGCGGCAGGCCUAACACAUGCAAGUCGAACGAGUGGCGGACGGGUGAGUAAUGUCUGGGAAACUGCCUGAUGGAGGGGGAUAACUACUGGAAACGGUAGCUAAUACCGCAUACCAUCGGAUGUGCCCAGAGGGGAGUAGCUAGUAGGUGGGGUAAAGGCACACAUAGGCGACGAUCCCUAGCUGGUCUGAGAGGAUGACCAGCCACACUUGAACUGUGACACGGUCCAGACUCCUACGGUAGGCAGCAGUGGGGAAUAUUGCACAACUGGCGCAAGCCUGAUGCAGCCAUGCCGCGUGUAUGAAGAAGGCCUUCGGGUUGUAAAGUACUUUCAGUGGGGAGGCGUUACCCGCAGAAGAAGCACCGGCUAACUCCGUGCCAGCCGCCGCGGUAAUUC
rnacentral:rRNA from 1 species